rnacentral:tRNA from 1 species
GCCCUCAUAGCUCAGUUGGUAGAGCACUUCCAUGGUAAGGAAGGGGUCACCGGUUCAAAUCCGGUUGAGGGCU